UGAGGAACACCGGUGGGUCGGCCCGGAGGGUCGGCGAAUCCGGGGCGGUCCCGCCACUGUGAUCCGUCCGGCGGGGUCGCCGGGCGGAGAGCCAGACACUC
rnacentral:ncRNA from 1 species